GUUAAGUUGGCAGAGGAUAUGUGAUUGAUUUAGGAUCAGGCUAUAAAGGUGUAAAUCCUUUACUUAGUA
rnacentral:tRNA from 1 species